GCGCGAAAACUUUACAAUGCUGGCAACAGCGAUAAGGGAACCUCGAGUGCCAGGUUACAAAUCUGGCUGUCGAGAUGCCUAAAAAGCAUUUCAUAGCAAGGGCCGGGCAAGACCGGUGCCAGCCGCCGCGGUAACACCGGCGGCUCGAGUGGUAACCGUUAUUAUUGGGUCUCAAGGGUCUGUAGCCGGCCGGAUAAGUCUCUUGAGAAAUCUGGCAGCUUAACUGUCAGGCUUUCAGGAGAUACUGUCGGGCUCGAGGCCGGGAGAGGUGAGAGGUACUUCAGGGGUAGGGGUGAAAUCUUGUAAUCCUUGAAGGACCACCAGUGGCGAAGGCGUCUCACCAGAACGGACCUGACGGCAAGGGACGAAAGCUAGGGGCACGAACC
rnacentral:rRNA from 1 species